UUUUCCACAUUUUGGACGACAUACUAAACUAUGACGUUUUUUCCACGUUUUCGACGACAUACUAAACUAUGACAUUUUUUCCACAUUUUGGAUGACAUACUUAAAACUACCGGCCUGUUUGGGGAUGAAUCACCAGCCAACAUACUAAAUCAGCUCUCAGCCAUCAUGGAAACUUGGCAUGUGACAGAAAAGGUUCAUACUGUUGUCACAGCUGGCAUGCCACAGCUAAAAGGAAGUAAAACGAGAUGGACUCACAUUCCUUGCUUUUCUGACAUUCUGAAUGCAAUAUUUAAGGAUGUGAUGAACAACAAUGAGCUGUCCAGCGUUCUCAACAAGUGCUGCAACAUCAUCCGGUUCUUGAAGUAUGACUCUGAAGCUGAGAAGGAGCUCAGAGAAUUGCAAGGCAAACUGCACAAGAAACAAACUGAGCUGAUCAUGUGUUCCAGGGACAGAUGUCUCACUUGGCUGGACAUGCUUCAACCACUGGAUGAGCAGUACUCAGUCAUGAUGAUAGUGAUCAAUGAGAGGGGGAAGACAGAUUUAAUUCUAAACGAAAGCGAUAAAAAGAACAUCAAGAACGUCAUAUCAGCUCUGGAACCUCUGAAGGAAGCCACUUCCAUGUUUAAAGGCAAAGGAUUUGAGACCAUUUCAGUCGUGGUGCCUGUGAUAUCGAAGCUCAUGGAUGCACUUGGAGAAGAAGCAAAGCGCAAGAAUCAUGUUGCCAAAAUACUACUGUCAAAAUGCCAACUCGAAUUCGGCAAUGUCAACGAGCACAAACUAGCUACCGUCACAUUCCUCGACCCAAGAUACAAAAACCACCUAAGAGACAAUGCCAAGAACCUAGCAAUUAAGAAGAUAAUGAUGGAGCUCAGUGCAAGCAAAGAGAAUUCUGCUGACAAGCUGAAAGUCCAACUGGACAAAUACAAGGCUUAUAAACCCAAUGCACAGGAGUCAAAUCCUUUGGCCUGGUGGAGGUACACAGGAAAGGAGGAAUUCUCUCUAUUAAGCAAGCACGCUGUGAAGAGACUUGGGGUCGUCUCCACUGCUGUGCCCUUAGAGAAAGCGUUCUCCAGGGCAGGUGAUCAGUUCUGCAACCUCAGGAGCUCCAUCGAGCCAGAAAACCUUAACAUGGUUCUGUUCCUCAACAGCAACUGGUCUACACAGUCCUAGGUACAAAUCUAUUCCUCUGUCUAAGCCAAAGCACACACUAGCCAUGUUUCCAUCAGCAUUUUAAAGCAUCAAAUCAGAAAAAGUUAAAAGUAACUGAAAAUUUUGAAAAAAAUUUCCUCAUUUUUGCAAAUCAUCAGCACCCCUGAAGUCCUUCUGCAACUACUUCGAUAACAGCUCUUUUAAAUAUGAAUGAUGAAGAUGUGGAUGAGAAUCUCCUCAUAAAGUUUCUCCUCAUGGCAGGCCAUGUUCCUGACACAUGCACAGUUGACAUGCUUGCAGUGCAAGACAGUCCAUGCAGUCACAGUUUAUGAGCUUCACAUGGACCCUCACAGACUUUGUCUGAUGACGCAAUUUACAGCAAGCAGCCCCGUGCAGACAAUCACACUUGGGAUACAUGAUUUUCACUUAAUCCGUGAUUAUACUCCCUUCUAGAUGAGCACACAGACAGCUGUGGACACCACAAAAUGGCAAUUGUUGUUGUAGUACUUUUUGUUCACUUGGAGAAUGCUUUCCAUAAAUGCACAGUAGUUUGGCGUCUCUGUGCUCUUGCACCACUAGCUGCCACGCAGACACCAACUUUAGCCUUCAUGCGAACAUCCCCAGAGGGCUCCGUGCAGACUCUCCCCGCCUUAGGCAAAUGAGGACAUUUGCAUUACACAGACUUCUACAUGCUCACGGAUGCAAAUAUUAUAACAUCGGUUAAAGACAACACUGUACUCACUUCAUUCCUCAGUACAGUGAGGGGUGUUUGUUAUUGACUGAAUAGCAGGAGGUGCCGCUUCAAGACAACAGCUGCCUGCAGAUUGAAAGAAAAAUAAUCUGCACAAUGCUCUCCUCAUUUAUUUUUAUCAUUGUCAACAGUUUUCUCACAUGUGAUUUUAGUGAUUUUAUCAUCACUGAGCUAUUUUAACUACUGAUUCUGAUUCCACUAUUAAAGAUUAAAGAUGCUAUUAUUAUCAAUGUACAUGAAAAUACAAUGGAAUUUUGUUGGCAAUUUCUAACAGUAGCAGGUCUGACAGCUAGGUGUUGUAAAAAGCUUUACAGGUCAAGACAGUUGGAGAUUUCUGUACUCGACUCAUUAAUAGUGACAAUACAACAGUGACAUGACUUCUACAUCAUGUAAAGACAAACUUCUGAGCAUAAUUAUGUUCCGCUUGAAACUAAAUUUGAAUCAUUUACAUGUAUGAUUUGCUUGAACUUAACAGCUGCCAUGAAUAGUAGAAUGUGAAUUACAGUUACACAGUGCAUUGGUUCAGCACUGACACUGUGAUAUGCAUGUGUGAAUAUAAUGACAUUGCAGGACAUACGAUGUGAAAUAAGGCAAACAAGUUGCCACACAGAUACAAACUUUGGGCUUCAUGCAAACGUCCAUGGAGAGGUUUGUGCAGACUCUUAUGGACUUCUGCAAUAGAUGAAAUGUACGUCAUGCUGACCCUCAUGUGCUUAUGGACAAAGUAUAACACCAGUGCUGCAUUAAGUUGACAGGCCAGCAUCUCUUUGUUCAUGGCUAUUUGUUUCAUGGAGUUGUCUUAAGUUAUAAUCGCAAUGUUGUCCGAUGCCAUUCAGGAAUUAUAUAUUAUUGUCUAAUUCAUCAAACAUCAUUAUCAUUGAUUGAUGGAAAUUAGUUCUUCAUUCUCCGUUUUACUGUAAAACUGUUUUUUUUCUUUUGUGUUUCUUCUUUGUUACUGAAAGACUUCUGAUUGUGUCCAUUUUGUACAAUACAUUUUUUGAAAAAUUUGCAACUGUGCUGUGUGUUCUUUAGGAGUUACAGACAGUAACACAACACUAAAUACGUACAUUACACCAGAAGACUGACAGAUAUUAAGAUUCGGACAGAAGUAACACUACAAAAUGUGCAUUAAGGAUGUGUUUCAUAUCUCUUUAAGCAGAAAAUGCCCCCUGUGAGCGUUGUAAAAUAUGAUUGGGUUAUUGUUGCUGAUAAAUUUAAGUGGAGGCAGCAUUGUUCAUGACUUUUUCAGCCUGAGGGACCUAUAUGGGAGGGUGAGAAGCCUUUGAAAGGUGGAGGGUCUUUGUCAGGGGUCUCACGUCUCAAUCCACAACUUUAACGACAAGGAUUAUUUACUUGAACUAAAAACACAUCAUGCAAUAAUCAAUAUUUUCACAAACUGUGAAAAAAAAUUGCAUUUUAAAGUUUUACAGAUUUUUUUUUUAUAUACUACUUUUGUAGUCUAGUCCUUUUGAUAACAGGCCUAAUGACCAUUUAAUGCCUGGUUACAAUACUGUAAUUUCUUGCUAUAGGUUCUGAAAUCUGCAUUUUCUGUAUUUUUGUUAGAGAUGCCACAAGCUCAUUUUAUUCCUUAUUUACCAAUCUGCUGAUUAUUUUCUCUAUUAAAUGUCUAGAAAAUGACCAAAAAUUGUGAAUAAAUGUAUGUAUUAAUUCAAAAUUGCUGCUGGUGACACACAGAGGGCUUAUUUUGUUUAAUAAAUUAUUAUGUAACAAAGAAAAGCACCAAAUCCCCACUUUUGAAAAGAAUUCCUGCUUGAAAAAAAUAUUUCAAUUAUCAAUCAAUUAAUUACAAUGAUUUUCACUGACCUUUUCUCACUGAAUAAUCAGUUAAUGGACUUUGUCAGUUUUAGCGGGUAUCCCUGGGUACUAAAAGCUUGGAUAAAUUUACUCUGUACACUGAGGAGUUGUGUGGAUGAGCAGCCAGAAGGAGGCGCCAUUUGAACACCAGAGCUGUCUGCUGACUGAUGCAACUGAAAGACAAACUGCACACUUUUCUUGUUUCAUCAUUUUCAUGUCAGACAACUGUCUGACAUGAAAAUGCUUGCUCA
ensembl:lncRNA